UAGGGAAUCUUCCGCAAUGGACGAAAGUCUGACGGAGCAACGCCGCGUGAGUGAAGAAGGUUUUCGGAUCGUAAAACUCUGUUGUUAGAGAAGAACAAGGAUGAGAGUAACUGUUCAUCCCUUGACGGUAUCUAACCAGAAAGCCAUGGCUAACUACGUGCCAGCAGCCGCGGUAAUACGUAGAUGGCAAGCGUUGUCCGGAUUUAUUGGGCGUAAAGCGAGCGCAGGCGGUUCUUUAAGUCUGAUGUGAAAGCCCCUGGCUCAACCAGGGAGGGUCAUUGGAAACUGGAGAACUUGAGUGCAGAAGAGGAAAGUGGAAUUCCAUGUGUAGCGGUGAAAUGCGUAGAUAUAUGGAGGAACACCAGUGGCGAAGGCGACUUUCUGGUCUGUAACUGACGCUGAGGCUCGAAAGCAUGGGGAGCAAACAGG
rnacentral:rRNA from 2 species